UCAAUUUCACUCGAAAACUCACUAUGUCUCUCUCCCUUCAUCUCUCCAGUUUUCUUCGAUCAAUUCAUUGAGAAAUUCAAGUGACGAUCUCGAGUUUUCGUCGAAAUCGUUGCUUUCAUUUUGAUUCAGGUAGGAUUCAACUGGUUUCCUCUCUAGUAUCUUUGGUGAAAUCACAAUUUCAGUAUAUCUUCUUCCUUCACGCCACAUUAAAAGAACACGAACCCUAAAUUUCUUUCGUAAACAGAAUCAGAAGUAGUUUCAGAAGAGGAUUACCAUUCCAAUCAGAAGAAGGUUGCAGUAGUUAAGGUGGACUGAUGCUGGAUGGCUACAUUUGAGGGGAAGAAGGUUGUUUCAUAUUCUUCAUGAGAUAUGGCAGUUGUAGCAAGGGAGUAUUCUAGACGACUUCAGGCCCUUCCAUCAGAAGACCGAAAGAAAAUUCUGUUGCAAGUAGCGGAUGCCUUAGAAGCAAAUGAAAGCUUCCAAGAAUAAGAUGAUGCUGCUGCAAAGAAGGCUGGGGGUGACAAGGCACUGAUAUCUCGCUUGGCUGUAAAGCCC